AGAGUUUGAUCCUGGCUCAGGAUGAACGCUGGCGGCGUGCCUAACACAUGCAAGUCGAACGAAGCUUGACGGAUGAUUUCUUCGGAAUGAAACCAGAUAUGACUUAGUGGCGGACGGGUGAGUAACACGUGAGCAACCUGCCUUUCAGAGGGGGAUAACGGCUGGAAACGGUCGCUAAUACCGCAUGAUGUGUUCGGAUGGCAUCAUCUGAACAUCAAAGAUUUAUCGCUGAAAGAUGGGCUCGCGUCUGAUUAGAUAGUUGGUGGGGUAACGGCCUACCAAGUCUGCGAUCAGUAGCCGGACUGAGAGGUUGAACGGCCACAUUGGGACUGAGAUACGGCCCAGACUCCUACGGGAGGCAGCAGUGGGGAAUAUUGCACAAUGGGGGAAACCCUGAUGCAGCAACGCCGCGUGAAGGAUGACGGUUUUCGGAUUGUAAACUUCUUUUCUUAGUGACGAAGACAGUGACGGUAGCUAAGGAAUAAGCAUCGGCUAACUACGUGCCAGCAGCCGCGGUAAUACGUAGGAUGCAAGCGUUAUCCGGAUUUACUGGGUGUAAAGGGAGCGCAGGCGGGACUGCAAGUUGGAUGUGAAAUACCGUGGCUUAACCACGGAACUGCAUCCAAAACUGUAGUUCUUGAGUGAAGUAGAGGCAAGCGGAAUUCCGAGUGUAGCGGUGAAAUGCGUAGAUAUUCGGAGGAACACCAGUGGCGAAGGCGGCUUGCUGGGCUUUAACUGACGCUGAGGCUCGAAAGUGUGGGGAGCAAACAGGAUUAGAUACCCUGGUAGUCCACACUGUAAACGAUGAUAGCUAGGUGUGGGGGGUCUGACCCCUUCCGUGCCGGAGUUAACGCAAUAAGCUAUCCACCUGGGGAGUACGACCGCAAGGUUGAAACUCAAAGGAAUUGACGGG
rnacentral:rRNA from 1 species